rnacentral:lncRNA from 1 species
ACUUUCUCUGUGAGCCUCGCCAUUCAUCUCCCAGGGCCAGUGCGAAGAGCAAAGGAGCUGGAUAGCCCAGAGGAAGGAUCAAUGAAGUCCUUUGUUGGAGAGACUGAGAAAGCUUUAUGGGAAGGGGAAUGGUUUCAGCCAUGCAUAAAAAAGUAUAGAAAUAUAACAGGCCAAUAAAUGGAAGUUGCCACUGAGGCACAAAGACAUACUACACAUAAGAAGAACAAAGUUGGAGGUUUCAUGCAUCCUGAUUUCAAAACUCACUACAAAGCUACAGUAGUGAAAGCAGUGUGGUAGUGGCAUAAAGACAAUCAUAUAAACCAAUGGAAUAGAACAGAGAGCCCAGAAAUAAAGUCUCACAGUUACAGUCAAAUGAUUCUUGACAAGAGUGUGAAGACCACUCAGUGGAAAAAUGACAGCAUUUUCAACAAAUGAUGCUGAGAAAAUGGAAUAUUCCUAUGCCAAAGAAAGAAGUUGGACCCUUACAUUGCACCAUAUAUGAAAAUUAACUCAAGAUGGAUUGAAGACUUAAAUGCAAGAGCUAAGAAAAUAAAGCUCUUAGAAGAAAACAUAGGGUA